rnacentral:rRNA from 1 species
CCCUCCGGGGUGCGCCAGGGUGACGUCCAUGCCACCGCGGGUCAUGAGCAUGACAAGGCCCUGGGGCAUUGACAGAGGGCGGACGUACUUGGGGGCGUAAGUCCACGCGAUGGUGAAUUUGCGGCCGCGCAGAUCAUUACCGAAUUUUUCGCGAAUGGUCAUCAGGUCGGCCAUAGCCUGACAGGGAUGAUCGACAUCAUCCUGCAUGGAAAUGACAGGGAUGUCAACAUAUUUUGCCAGUUCAUACUGGUAAGCCUGGCCGAUAUCGGUGCGGCAGUCGCGGACAGCGAUCCCGUGGCCGUAACGCUCGAGCACACCGCCGGUAUCCUUGGCGUUCUCGCCGUGGCCCACCUGGGUCGCCGCCGGGGUCAGGAAGAUGGCAUGGCCGCCCAACGGGGUCAUACCGGAUUCAAAUGAAUUGGCGGGAGGGC